rnacentral:rRNA from 1 species
GAUGAACGCUGGCGGCGUGCCUAAUACAUGCAAGUCGAGCGAACGGACGAGAAGCUUGCUUCUCUGAUGUUAGCGGCGGACGGGUGAGUAACACGUGGAUAACCUACCUAUAAGACUGGGAUAACUUCGGGAAACCGGAGCUAAUACCGGAUAAUAUUUUGAACCGCAUGGUUCAAAAGUAAAAGAGGGUCUUGCUGUCACUUAUAGAUGGAUCCGCGCUGCAUUAGCUAGUUGGUAAGGUAACGGCUUACCAAGGCAACGAUGCAUAGCCGACCUGAGAGGGUGAUCGGCCACACUGGAACUGAGACACGGUCCAGACUCCUACGGGAGGCAGCAGUAGGGAAUCUUCCGCAAUGGGCGAAAGCCUGACGGAGCAACGCCGCAUGAGUGAUGAAGGUCUUCGGAUCGUAAAACUCUGUUAUUAGGGAAGAACAUAUGUGUAAGUAACUGUGCACAUCUUGACGGUACCUAAUCAGAAAGCCACGGCUAACUACGUG